rnacentral:rRNA from 1 species
AACGAACGCUGGCGGCGCGCCUAACACAUGCAAGUCGAACGAGAAUCCGGGGCAACCCGGUAGUAAAGUGGCAAACGGGUGAGGAAUACAUGGGUAACCUACCCUUGAGAAGGGAAUAACCCGCCGAAAGGUGAGCUAAUACCCUAUACGCUAUCUUUUUUUCGAAAAGGAUAGGAAAGCCGGGUCGAGGACCUGGUACUCAAGGAGGGGCUCAUGUCCUAUCAGCUUGUUGGUGGGGUAACGGCCUACCAAGGCUACGACGGGUAGCUGGUCUGAGAGGAUGAUCAGCCACACUGGCACUGAGAUACGGGCCAGACUCCUACGGGAGGCAGCAGUGAGGAAUCUUGCGCGAAUGGGCAAAGCCUGACGCAGCGACGCCGCGUGGGUGAUGAAGGCCUCGGUU